AUUGAACGCUGGCGGCAUGCCUUACACAUGCAAGUCGAACGGUAACAGGUCUUCGGAUGCUGACGAGUGGCGAACGGGUGAGUAAUAUAUCGGAACGUGCCCAGUCGUGGGGGAUAACGCAGCGAAAGCUGUGCUAAUACCGCAUACGAUCUACGGAUGAAAGCAGGGGACCGCAAGGCCUUGCGCUCAUGGAGCGGCCGAUGGCAGAUUAGGUAGUUGGUGGGAUAAAAGCUUACCAAGCCGACGAUCUGUAGCUGGUCUGAGAGGACGACCAGCCACACUGGGACUGAGACACGGCCCAGACUCCUACGGGAGGCAGCAGUGGGGAAUUUUGGACAAUGGGCGAAAGCCUGAUCCAGCCAUGCCGCGUGCAGGAAGAAGGCCUUCGGGUUGUAACUGCUUUAGUCUAGGAAAAGGGGUGACGAGGUUAAUACCUACGUGCUUUGUAUGGUACUGGAAGAAUAAGCACCGGCUAACUACGUGCC
rnacentral:rRNA from 1 species